CUCCACUACUCAUGUGUAUUAUGAAACACACAGCCCCAAAGACAGAAUAAAGAAAUUAAAAUGUAUAUUUUCUUUAAUUAUUGGUGCCCUUUCAGAGAGACUUCCUGUUUGUGGCACUCUAUCGGUUGACUUUCACAGCACCUGAAGAGCUAACAACUGUGAUUGCCCUACAGUAUUCCCAAAGGAUAGGGAUAGGCAUGGAUGAGUGUCUGGAAGCUGUUCUUAAUAAAAAGUUUGAAUACAUCCUCUGGUAUCUAUGUUGCAGAGGAUUCCCAGAGAUUUAAUGAUGCUUGAAGCAGCCAUUGGAGAAAAUCUUGGGCCACAUUUGAAACAUCCACAACCAAUGUCUCAUUUACAUAUCACAUUUACUUUUCUCCUACGAGGAAGCUGGGAUCUGACAGCCGUCAAGAACACAAGGGCUGGGCCAUUCUGUAUUUGUUAGAAUUUAAGCAGUAUGGAUGGCACAGGCAACUGUUCUGAGCUCUGUCGUUUAUGUGGUGUCAGUGGGGCCCUGUGGACUGCUGCUCUGUAGGGGACGGGCCUGGACUGAAAGAGCUGUUGCAGCAGAAACACAACUGGGGCUGUUUCACAGAGUGUUGGCUUUAGUUUUUAUUCAGGAAACAGCCAUAAUAGCUGAUAAAGCUCUAUGACGACUGCAGUUCAGUCAUCGGAAGAAAAGAGCCCUGAGCACUCAAGGGUGAGCCAGAGCUGGCCAGUAGUCCAAGUCCUCAUGGUGAAAGGACACAAGCAAGGAGUGGGCUGGAGGGAAGCACAAGGGAGAAGGCUCGCCUGGAAACCACUGCAUUGGUGUCUGAAGUACAUACCGGGGCAUGAGAGACAUGUAUGGUGGAGAACUCCUGAUUCCUUUUGCAAGCAGUUCAUGUGGUAUGUGAAUAAAGAGACAAUUUGCAAAGCCUAAAUGCGGUUCAAGGGAACUGAACACUUUCUUCCACCAGGACACUUUUGGAAGACUGGUCUACCAUGGUAUAAUAUUCACACUCGGACUUGAAACAAGCAGCAGUUUCCAUUUUUGCCUGUUCUCCAUCAGUCCCUUUGAAAAGUGAUAAGCAGGUCCAAAGUGCUGCAAAACUUCAAAACCAGAACAGAUACUUUGGGAAGUGCACUUCUAUGACACAGUAUUCUUCCAGUGAUAUCAGUGUACAGGAAAGGUGGGGAUAAGUUUAGAUCCUCAAAAAUGAGCCUCUGUUUUGCAGCAGCUAUCAAAACAGAGUGUGUGUCUGUUUCUCUGUUGCAAAAGAAUAAAAUAUUAGCAUGUUGUCUCUUUCAGUAGCGUAAAAUAUUAUAUCUGGAAACUAAUUUUAAUUUCAUUUCUCUAUGGAAAAGGAAAAGACAACAUACUAAGGAGAAAUGGCUUUCAAUGUUGCAUUUUCUUGUCUAAUCUAUUAGAGUAAGAGCCUGUGCAUCAUGGACCAAGCAAAUAAGGUGUCUUUGUCAAGGCAAGCAAAAAUCCUUGGAUUGGAGCUCCAAAAAAUGGACAAUUUUUGAACCUGACACUUCUGGGAUUUGUGUCCAGUGGACGAUUUUUAGAGAGGAUAUGGAAAUACAGAUGGGUGAGACGGCAGAAUGCUCUGCAAGGGACCUCACUUGAGACACACAGCUCCAAGCAGCCAAACUCUCAAGUGUCAACAGCUUCCAAGGCACCCGGGAUAAAGAUGAUACCAGAGGGGAACCCUCAGUGUUGGUGAAAGAAUGCAAUGGUCUUGGCUGAGUGGAGUGGCUUUCUCGAGCAGCUCAGGGGCAGCAGGAAGCGCCUGAGGGUUUGAAAUGGAGCCACCAGAGGGAGACAUAAGGCCGCACACAUCAGAGCUGUGCCAUCUGCUGUCUGCGGGUAACGCGUUCAUAGCCACCUGCGCUGCCAUGUCAAAGCUCAGGCUGAAUCAAACUAAUUGUUGUGGCAAACAACAGCACCACUAGGCCACCAGCACUUGUCAUUACCAGUUUAACCUUGCCUCUGGCAAAGCCAAUGCAUGUAAUCCCAGGGACAAAAAACAACAAAAAACCCCCAAACCAACCCAAAUCAAACAAAUAAACUGAACCACCACCUAACAAAACUGCCUCAAACAGAAUUCUUGUUGUUGUUUUUGCAGAUCUAUGCAGCCUUUUGGAGGAGUUUACAAAUGUGGCUCUGUGCUGUGCGCACAUAAUUUGUUUAUACGUGUUACUGUUCUACUUGUUUCAAACUGAGAUUCCAAGAAACCAUUAAGUUUCCGCAAAUACUUUGGCAUGGGCCAUUGGAAUAAUUCUAAUAAAGUUCAACCUGCGGGGUGUUUUUCUUAGAGUGUAUUGCAGGGAAUUAAUGUUUUGAAAAAAUUCCAUGGAACGUUUCAAAGUAAAUUCUACAUUUAAAAUAAUCCUUCAAACGCAAGAAUAUAGACUACAACAAAAACACUUAGUGAACUGCUCAUAAGAAGGUGAUUCAGACAAAUUCUGUUAGAUUGUUGUUCUCUAGGGAUGUUCUUUGUCUUUUUACUCUUUGUAUUUGUCUUUUUCUUUUUUAUGUCCUUCCUAGACCAUUUCUAGUCAUAGUGUAAAAUAAGAAGGCUAAAUAUAGUAAUAAAGUAAUAAAUAAUAAAAUAGAUUAUAGGAAUAAAGUAAUACAUAAUAAAUAAAUUUAGCA